CAAUAGCGUAUAUUAAAGUUGUUGCAGUUAAAAAGCUCGUAGUUGGAUUUCUGCUGAGGACGAUCGGUCCGCCCACUGGGUGAGUAUCUGGCUCGGCCUUGGCAUCUUCUUGGAGAACGUUGCUGCACUUGACUGUGUGGCGCGGUAUCCAGGACUUUUACUUUGAGGAAAUUAGAGUGUUUCAAGCAGGCGCACGCCUUGAAUACAUUAGCAUGGAAUAAUGAGAUAGGACCUUGGUUCUAUUUUGUUGGUUUCUAGAGCUGAGGUAAUGAUUAAUAGGGAUAGUUGGGGGCAUUCGUAUUUAACUGUCAGGGGUGAAAUUCUUGGAUUUGUUAAAGACGGACUACUGCGAAAGCAUUUGCCAAGGAUGUUUUCAUUGA
rnacentral:rRNA from 1 species